ensembl:lncRNA
UAUUAAGUGUGAUAAACGUCAUGCACUCUGUCUGUAUAUGAAUAUAGGAGACUACCAAAUAAGGAGAGAUGCAAAUUUUAUGCAAGGCUAUAAAAGGCCAAGGAGCGCUUUGUGCGGGGCCGCACUCCGAUGGUGAAGACUUACUCGCUGUUAUUUUCAUUUUUUAUUACUUAUGAGUUAUUGUCUACUAAUAAAGCAAAGUAAGUCUCUGAGUAAUUUAUUUACGAGUAACAUAUUAUUCUGGAACUGAAUAUUCCUUUCGAGCCUCAAGAAGUCUGAACUCAGCUGAGCAGAUUUGAGUGCGAUCUCAGAGAUUCUGUAACCAUUUGCCAGACAUUACACGACUGAGAGACUGCAACGCCUGAAGCUAAAAAUCAUAAUUUGUGUUCUACUGAAGGAACAAAGUCACCUACAGCUUUGAUGCGCUGGGGACUCGAGAUGCUAACUUGUCUGGACAGCGAGAGUUAGCGAUGAGCAGCUCCAGAGUGGCAUUUAUCCUGAACAAUUUGGCUCUCGGUAUCGGCCUCACAGUCAUAACAGUGGUCAUUAUCAUUAAAUUAGUUCCUUGAACAACAUCGUUGAACAGAUGUUUUAUUCUGCAAAUGCAUCUAUUCAUACUGUAAAUGAUACUGUCAACUCAAAUCAAUGAUUUUUUGGAAGAAAUUAAAAAUAUUUUCCAGACCCUCUGAAGGGAAUGAUCUAAUGUACGCUUAUGUUUUAUUUCUUUUUGUAUGUAAUGCUGGCAGACUGAUAUGUUUGAUUAGCAGAAAUUAAAUGCUUUACUGCUUUUCUUUACUGCUAACAUCUAAAGACUCAUCUUUUUCGCCAGCACCAACUAAUACUAGCACUUACCUUUUCUUUUCUUGUCUAUCCUAUUCUUGGAAAAAAAAAAAAAAAAAACCUUGCUAUGAGUUCUGUGCUAGACUAACUGAGACUUGUCAUGGCACUUGUAUACUGUUGUUGUUCUCUCGUUGGUCUUAUUGGUUCUAUUGUUCUCAAUUAUAAGUCGCUUUGGAUAAAAGCAUCUGCUAAAUGAUUAAAUGUAUGUAAAUGUUUUCACUUAAAGCCGAUUUAAAAUGUUAUUUUUUUUUUUUUUUGGUAAAUUACACAUUAAAAUACAGCAUUGCACUAAAUACAUUAAUCGUUCUGGUCAUCUAUAGAGGAUUUCUCACUGGAGGAACAUUUUCAUAGUUCCUAGAACUAGAACUAUUGGCGGAAAAAUUCUCACUUUUUGGCGUGUUAGAACUGCAGGAACUAGGAACUUAUUGUUCUAGGAUCUCCGUUUGGGGGAAUUAAAUAGGGGUUAUGUGCAACGGACUUCUGCAUUCUGUUAAAUAGGUCUCACCACUUCUGGUUCAAGUAUUUUGCAUAUGCUUCAUUAAAUAUGAAGUUGUUUUACUCAAGAUUCCUUCAAAAGUAGAUACAAAUAAAAAAAAUUUUAUGCAGUUAUUUAAAGACCACAUGUCAUUGUUACCCAUAAGGAAGGUGACACCAGUGACAGUAACACCAGUGACAAUUUUCAUGAAAAAUGCAUUUUACUAAAUGGCUGCUGCAAGGUAUGAAACCACAUGUUGUUAUUCAUGGUGUACUCACUAAAUUAAGUAGUUUAAUCCAUUUGUAUUCCAUUUUAAUUAAUUUUUAUUUUAUUUUUUUACAAUUCCCUAAAAACCAAGUAAAUCAUACCAGUGACUUCAACUAAAAGGUUAAUAUAAAAUGGACUUAUAAAAUAAUAAUAAAAUCUGUUG